rnacentral:rRNA from 1 species
UAUUGGACAAUGGGCGAAAGCCUGAUCCAGCAAUGCCGCGUGAGUGAUGAAGGCCUUAGGGUUGCAAAGCUCUUUUACCCGGGAUGAUAAUGACAGUACCGGGAGAAUAAGCUCCGGCUAACUCCGUGCCAGCAGCCGCGGUAAUACGGAGGGAGCUAGCGUUGUUCGGAAUUACUGGGCGUAAAGCGCACGUAGGCGGCUUUGUAAGUUAGAGGUGAAAGCCUUGAGCUCAACUCCAGAAUUGCCUUUGAUACUGCAUCGCUUGAAUCCAGGAGAGGUGAGUGGAAUUCCGAGUGUAGAGGUGAAAUUCGUAGAUAUUCGGAAGAACACCAGUGGCGAAGGCGGCUCACUGGACUGGUAUUGACGCUGAGGUGCGAAA